UUGUUACUUUCCCAACACUACAGUAACGUUAAUCUGGCGUUUUCAUACUGGUAACUGUUAGCAUGCUAUUGGUCUGAUAGUUAAUGUUAGUGUUAUAAAACGAUAACUUAAAUCACUGAUUCCAUGAUGGGUUUGUUCAACGUGGCUCAACCAUUUUAACUGUUACUGUACAGAAACCAGAGCUAAUUGAAAUAGCUAAUGAGCUAACUCUAACAGAUUGCCAUGUGCUAGCUAAUGGGACAUAGCAUUUACGUUAACUUCACUUCACCCAUAUGCUGCAGAGAAUAAAAUAUUCAACCAGCACGACGUUACCUUUGUAGUUAACGUUACAGUGUACUCUAUUUUGGCAACCAACUGAGAAAAAUGGAUAGGUGCAUGAUGCUUUUGCGUGUUCAGUUCGUUGGCGAGCAAAAAGGUGUGAAGCUGUCAGAACCAACAUUUGAUGCUUUCUUGAAAGAAGGUCAAUAUCACACCGGAAUUCUCCUUUAAGUUGGUGGGCCAGGCCAUAGUCGACAACCCUUCACCUAUGACAAAGUGCCAUCUGAUGAGAUGAUGAAAACGACCUUCAUUUAUCGGCAAGCAAUGGUCAAUGAUGAAAACAAAUCAUCAGAUGUCUUAUUGGUCUUCCUGCGAUUUCUGGACACACGGGGACUGAUAGAACAGGAUUUCAGACUUCUGUUUGGUGAGACAACGGCCAACAAAUCCUUGGAGAGGUGGCCAACCACUUUCAAAGCAAAAGUAAUAAAGGAGAGCCAUGGACUUGUACCCACCACAGAACUCUUGGACUUGAUGCACAAUGCUGAGUCAGCUGCUCAAGUUGAGAAUGGCUGGGACAGUGACAUGUCUGCCAUCUUGCUGCUGCUACAUCUGCUACCACCAUCUGCACAAGGUCGAAAGGGGUCGGGAAAGAUGUCUGCAUCUCAAGCUAUAGAUCAGCUCAUCAGAUUUCAAAAGGUUGGAAGCAGUGUGCAUCAGCAUCUAGACAACAUCACCCAAAGUACUCAGCCCUACCUUCUCGCCCAGGGAUCCACACAGAGCAGCAUUCACUCCUACUUCAUUGAGAUUGACAAGCAUGCGCUUCCAUGCAAGGCAACAGGUUCAGUGGGAGCUUUUGACGAACUCUUUAAAGCCCAUUACGUCUUUGGUAUGUUGUACAGUUUUUCCUUGAGCAGCUUUUUCACUUUUGUGCAAACAACUUUAACAUCGAUCUGGGGGAAACAAAGGAGACUCCAAGAGUUGCCGAGUUGUGUGAAAGAAUUGUGCAUUAGUUGAGAUGUGUUUUCUUUGCAAGUACAAAAAACUCUUUGCGAAAGUGAUAAAGGAAG